GUCGAGCACGGUGGCACGUGCCUAUAGUCCCAGCUACUCGGGAGGCUGAGGUGGGAGGAUCUCUUGCACCCAGGAGUUCUGGGCUGUAAUGCACUAUGCCAAUUGGGUGUCCACACUAAAUUCGGCAUCAAUGUGGUGACCUACCAGAGUGGGGGACCACCAGGUUGCUUAAGGAGGGGUGAACCAGUCCAAGUCAGAAACGGAGCAGGUCAAAAUUUCCGUGCUGAUAAGUAGUGGGAUCUCGCCUGUGAAUAGCCACUGCACUCCAGCCUGGGCAAUAUAGAGAGACUCCAUCUCUA
ensembl:misc_RNA Metazoa_SRP Metazoan signal recognition particle RNA